rnacentral:rRNA from 1 species
AGCUCCAAGAGCGUAUAUUAAAGUUGUUGCAGUUAAAAAGCUCGUAGUUGGAUUUCUGGUACAAUGCGCCUGGCCCGCCGCCGUUAGGUGAGUGAGUGCCGGUGUGCGUUUGCCAUCCUUCUAGAAAACGUUUCUACCCUUAACUGGGCCGGACUCGCGAUCUAGAUCUUUUACUUUGAAGAAAUUAGAGUGUUUAAAGCAGGCUUUUGCUAUGAAUACAUUAGCAUGGAAUAAUAAUCUAG